GAUGAACGCUAGCGGGAGGCUUAACACAUGCAAGUCGAGGGGCAUCACGAGGUAGCAAUACUUUGGUGGCGACCGGCGCACGGGUGAGUAACACGUAUGCAACCUACCCUGUACAGGGGGAUAACCCGGAGAAAUUCGGACUAAUAUCCCAUACAAUUAUUGGAGGGCAUCCUUUGAUAAUUAAAGCUCAGGCGGUAUAGGAUGGGCAUGCGGAACAUUAGCUAGUUGGUAGGGUAACGGCCUACCAAGGCUACGAUGUUUAGGGGACCUGAGAGGGUUAUCCCCCACACUGGUACUGAGACACGGACCAGACUCCUACGGGAGGCAGCAGUGAGGAAUAUUGGUCAAUGGGCGCAAGCCUGAACCAGCCAUCCCGCGUGAAGGAAGAAGGCCCUAUGGGUUGUAAACUUCUUUUCCAGGGGGUGAAUAAUUCCGAUGUAUCGGGAGAUGACGGUACCCUGGGAAUAAGCAUCGGCUAACUCCGUGCCAGCAGCCGCGUAAUCUGUAGUCGU
rnacentral:rRNA from 1 species